AGUGCUGGGGGAGCGAAAAGCUGAGAGUGUAUGUUGAUACAGACCCUUAUCACCUGAUCCGGUCAAUGCCGGCGUAGGGAAGCAGGAG
rnacentral:ncRNA from 1 species